rnacentral:rRNA from 1 species
ACUCAAAGGAAUUGACGGGGACCCGCACAAGCGGUGGAGCAUGUUCUUUAAUUCGAUGGUAAGCGAAGAACCUUACCAGGGUUUGACAUCCUUGGAAUUACUGCGAAAGCAGUGAGUGCCUUCGGGAGCCAAGUGACAGGUGAUGCAUGGCCGUCGUCAGCUCGUGUCGUGAGAUGUUAGGUUAAGUCCUUCAACGAGCGCAACCCUUAUGAUUAGUUGUAUUUUUCUAGUCAGACUGCCUCGGUAACGGGGAGGAAGGAGGGGAUGAUGUCAGGUCCGUAUUUCCCUUACACCCUGGGCCAGAAACGUGCUACAAUGGCCGGUACAAAGCGCAGCUAAGUCGCGAGACGGAGCAAAUCGCAUCAAAGCCGGUCCCAGUUCAGAUUGCAGGCUGAAACUCGCCUGCAUGAAGUCGGAAUCGCUAGUAAUCGCAGGUCAGCACACUGCGGUGAAUACGUUCCCGGGUCUUGUACACACCGCCCGU